rfam:Dufourea novaeangliae contig3468, whole genome shotgun sequence.
GUCAACGUUCAUACCACGCUGUAGAAUACCAGUUCUCGUCCGAUCACUGAAGUCAAGCAGCGUUGGGCGCAGUUAGUACUUGAAUGGGUGACCGUCUGGGAAUACCGCGUAAUGUUGGCA